UAUAAAGGGCAGAGUCAAAGUCAUUGAAAGCUUAAAAAAGAACCAGUGCUUAUUCUGACAUAUAAAGGUGAAAAUAACUAGCAAAGAGCACAUAUUCUGCUUUGUUAAAAGAUUUCUUACAAAAAUAUUCUUCUCAGAGCUACUCUGAAAUAUUUUAAAAAUAAAGAUGGAUGUUAAUAAUAUAAAAUGCUAACUUGCAAGUUUUUUAUUCUUACUGUUUUUAUUGACAAAACUUUCCAAAUUAUCACAGUGAGAUUCUACCAAACUGGGAACUGCUUGUCAACUGAAGAAUGUGAAGAGCUGGGAAUGUGGCUUAGUGGUAGAAUGCUUGCCUAGCAUGCAUGAUGCCCUGGGUUCGAUUCCUCAGUAUUACAAAAAAAAG